rnacentral:rRNA from 1 species
AGUGAACGCUGGCGGUAGGCCUAACACAUGCAAGUCGAACGGCAGCACAGGAGAGCUUGCUCUCUGGGUGGCGAGUGGCGGACGGGUGAGGAAUACAUCGGAAUCUACUCUGUCGUGGGGGAUAACGUAGGGAAACUUACGCUAAUACCGCAUACGACCUACGGGUGAAAGCAGGGGAUCUUCGGACCUUGCGCGAUUGAAUGAGCCGAUGUCGGAUUAGCUAGUUGGCGGGGUAAAGGCCCAACAAGGCGACGAUCCGUAGCUGGUCUGUGAGGAUGAUCAGCCACACUGGAACGGAGACACGGUCCAGACUCCUACGGGAGGCAGCAGUGGGGAAUAUUGGACAAUGGGCUCAAGCCUGAUCCAGCCAUACCGCGUGGGUGAAGAAGGCCUUCGGGUUGUAAAGCCCUUUUGUUGGGAAAGAAAUCCAGCUGGUUAAUACCCGGUUGGGAUGACGGUACCCAAAGAAUAAGCACCGGCUAACUUCGUGCCAGCCGCCGCCGUAA